CUCGAUGACCACCAGUGUUUUUGUGUUUGACAAUUUGUAUUUCAUUAGAUAAAUAUCUAAUGAAAUACAAAUUGUCAAACACAAAAACACUGGUGGUCAUCGAG
rnacentral:miRNA from 1 species